GUGGGGAUGUGGCUUAGUGGUAAAGUGCUUACCUAGCACAUGUGAAGUACUGGGUUCUAUCCUCAGCACCACA
rnacentral:tRNA from 1 species